CCGGAAUUUCCGGUAGCGCCGUAAGAAGGAAAAUCAGGGAAUUCGAUGCACCUGUGCCUAGUUAGGGACAGCGGUUGGUGAUUGGAGGAUACGCUGGACAAGGCAGUACUUAAGGCCAAGUUAUUUCACAGUCUGGGCGCUCUUUCUGGCUGGAAUUGUAUGAUUGUGAAGACAUCGCGAACCUUAAAGGUUGAGAAGUGAACGGAUUUUACGGCGAACUGAGACGACGUGAAAAAGGGGAUUGGAAGCGGCAUUGAUGUGAGUACUAAGAGCCAGUCGAAAGUGCCCUGUAUAUUGACCUGGCGUUGUGUAGAUCUCUCCAGGAGGAGGAGGGCGGCCCUACCCCUAAUAUAGCGUGGUGGGAGAGCCGAAGGAAUACUUAUUGAAGUAGUCACAACGACGACAUCACUAGCUAGGCCGCAUAUUCCAUCGCCAGAUCCGAACCAAGCGAAGUGAAGGAAGACGGGUGUCCUUUUCGUACACUGAGUGUGGUGGGUGAGUCUUCAUGCUGUGAAAACCUAUAAUUUUGACGUGGUGCUGUAUAUUGCUGUGGGCUGCUGUGUAUUGCCGUGUGUCCUGUCAGAUAAACCCCCGCCUUCACGCACUUCGUCGCGGGAGGACAAGGAGACUGCUGGUCCUAGCCUAGUUCAGUACAGUAUAUGUUGUGCGCGUGCUUCAGAUCUCCGGAGAUAGCACAGUACGCUGUGUCCAGCCCAGAGGUGAAAGCCAUCCAAAGCAGAGUAACUGUGCUAUUGUGCCCAAGUUGAUACCUGUGGAGAGAAAAGGAGAGAGAGUGAAUAACACGAGGAGGAAUAGAGCGAACCCUGUACUUACAGUACGCUGUGUCCAGCCCAGAGGUGAGAGCCAUUCAAAGCAAACUAACUGUGCUAGUGUGCCCAAGUUGAUGCCUGUGGAGAAAGAGAAAGAGAGUGAGCACCCAGAGAACGAACUGUGUGAACCAGUACUUACUGUGAGCUGCAAUCAGCGAAGAGGAGGAAGAAGGAGGGCGCUACGGAUACCUAAGACUCAGGCCGGGGCCUGAGUCCC
ensembl:lncRNA